UUUACAGGAUUGCUAGAGAGGAAAUAGAACAGUUUGAAGAAACUGAUUUUGAAACUCUGGCACCUCAUACUGUCUCACGUUUGGCUGCAAGCAAGAUAUUCUACAGUUGUUUGGUGCUUUGUGGAUCCCAGAUCCUGAAAUUGGAGCAGUCUGAACCAUAUGGCCAAAUUGUUAUUAAACCGGGACCAAGGUUUUAAACCAAGUCUGGAGAGGUGUACUGGAUUUUACAUUAGUGCUUCCCCCUGCCACUCUUAUAACCUCCUCUUUCUUAACAGCAAAGGUUAACUUGACAUAUAAUGAUGGAUACAAAUGCUGUUUGCUGUCCUGCAGUCUGAUAUCAGAAUUGGCACAGAUUCAGCCUUCAUUCUCUGGACAAAUGACAUAGACUCGCAUAACACUUUAACUGAUAAUUUACACCUAUACGAAGGACCAAAACCCUCUUAUUUUUACAUACUGCAGUGCCCCCCAGAAAUCUCACUGAUUUAUAUCCAAGCUGUCUUCAAGAUGGUAUCAUGCAGGCUUAUCAGAGCUUGGAUGCAGAUGAUGCAUUUUUCAGAAUUUAUAGUUCAUAUUUGUCAAUUCAGAUCAUCCGUUAAAGCAUGAGGAAAAGGUUGCCCCUGUUUAAAUUAGGUUAAAAACAAAAUAUGUUCUUUGACAAGAAUUGUUCAGAUAUAACCAGUUAAAGGAGGUUUUUCAUGUAGGAUAAUCCAGCAGAAAUGUUUUAUAUUUAAAAUGUUUUAUAUUUAAAAUGUUCAAUGUUUUAAGUUAUAAUUAAGUUAAAAGCACUUUUAAAAAGCAGUACUUAAAUAAUGUAUUUACUAUAUAUAUAUAUAUAUAUAUAUAUAUAUAUAGAGAGAGAGAGAGAGAAUAAGAGAAUAUGGGUUGAGUUACAUUAAUAUAAUCCUAUUUGGUUGUUCAUAAAGUUCUAGAAUUGUGUGAAAAUAUGCCUUAAAGGUAUUUAAGACUGGUAAUUAUUAGUGUUCUAAUGUUUACUUUGUUUGUUAAUGAUGCAACAGUACUGUUUCUAACUUUUAACUAUAAUGUUAAUGCAUUUUUAAUUGAAGUAUGUAAUUAGGCUAUCCAGAGGUGUCUGGUUAAAGCACACUUUCUUACUAUACUAGAUGGUUUCUAUUGCAAAGUUAACUCAUAAACAUUGUAGAAAAAAGU